rnacentral:misc_RNA from 1 species
UUUCCGUAGGUGAACCUGCGGAAGGAUCAUUAUUGAGUUUUGAAGUGGGCUUGAUGCUGGCGCCUUCACGGUGCAUGUGCUCAGCCCCGCUCUCAAAUCCACUUAACACCUGUGCACUUUCAAAGCUGUAGUCCUCCGUAAAGGGAGCCGCAUGUCAGUAAUGGCGUGCUGGGAUUGCACUUUGCCCCUUCAAUCACAAACUAUAUGCAUUGUCUUGUAGAAUGUAAUAGCCUCUUGUAGGCGAAACUUAAUACAACUUUCAACAACGGAUCUCUUGGCUCUCGCAUCGAUGAAGAACGCAGC